AACGUAGGAGACAAACGUUAUCCGGAGUUACUGGGCGUAAAGGGCGUGUAGGUGGUAUCGUAAGUCUGGCGUGAAAUUUCUCGGCUUAACCGAGGCAGGUCGUCGGAUACUGCGAGGCUAGAGGACGGUAGAGGCGUGUGGAAUUCCGGGUGUAGUGGUGAAAUGCGUAGAGAUCCGGAGGAACACCAGUGGCGAAGGCGACACGC
rnacentral:rRNA from 1 species